UCGAAGAUUCAUUCUCAUCUCCUUGGCGAUGUCGUCUGUGUUCCUUCGCAUGUGUAGCUGCUCAAGUGGGUCCAGAUUUUUCUCUCCUCUGUUCUUCAUCUUGAUUUACUCCUUGUUUGUGCUGUUGAUAGUCUGAGCCACUGUCUGCUGUGGCUUCUUCAUUACCUACCUCCUGAGUUCCUGUGUGAGUGCUAUAUUUAGAUAUGCCAAGAAGGAGAGGUCGAAGAAGAAUACAAGGGGGUAGGGGGAGUGGCAUUAGUGAUGGAGUUGAAACAAAUUCCACCACAUCACAAAGUGAAGUUCCUAUAAAAGUUGUCAACUCAAACACUAGAUGUGUUCAACCACACCUACACAUAUCUGGAAAUGGGGAUUCAUAUGUUGAUAUUGAUUUAAAAGUUUUGUUGUGAUUUUUUUCUUUUAAUUUAAAUACAUUUGUCUUUACAUGAAGGUUUACCUCAUAUUGUGCAAUUCGUGAUAUCACUAAAAUAAUCAAAAAGUCAUUUACUGGCUUAUGACCUACUUGGACUUCAAUCCCGUCUCACAUUAGAGACAAAUAGUUUGAACAACUAAAUGUAUGUUAUGAUUUUUUAUUUUUUUGUUCUUAAAUUUGUAGAUUCAAUUAUUAGAAAAUUUUAGAAAGCUUUGGUUUUGUUAAUUUGAUUGUUAUUGUAGAGAUUAUAUCAUUGGGAAGAGAAUGAUGAAGAUAUAAUUAGAGGCAUUUUUGAAGUUGUGGGCUUUAGAAGACUCUGUGACACAUUCUGUAAAUUGAAAGAAAAGCUAAAAGAUAAAGAAGAUUAUAUUCCCAAUUGGAUUAGUGCAGACCAUUGGAAUGAACUUAAACAACACUGGAAUACUAUAAAGUUCAAGCAAAUUGCAACCACUAAUUCAAGGAAUAGAUUGGUGAAUCCUUCUUUGCAUACAAGAGGAUCAAGUCCUGCCCAUGAACAUGCUUAUAAAUUGGUAAGGUUUGAGUCAUUAAGUUGUAAAAAUCUCAUAUUGUACCAUUAAUGUUUUGAUUUUAAAUUUAUAUUAAUGAUUAUUAUUUUUGUAGGAAAAAGAUAAAGGAAGGAGACUUAUGUUAUCUGAAGUG